AAACCAACAGGGAUUGCCUUAGUAGCGGCGAGUGAAGCGGCAAAAGCUCAAAUUUGAAAUCUGGCACCUUCGGUGUCCGAGUUGUAAUUUGAAGAUUGUAACCUUGGGGUUGGCUCUUGUCUAUGUUUCUUGGAACAGGACGUCACAGAGGGUGAGAAUCCCGUGCGAUGAGAUGCCCAAUCCUAUGUAAGGUGCUUUCGAAGAGUCGAGUUGUUUGGGAAUGCAGCUCUAAGUGGGUGGUAAAUUCCAUCUAAAGCUAAAUAUUGGCGAGAGACCGAUAGCGAACAAGUACAGUGAUGGAAAGAUGAAAAGAACUUUGAAAAGAGAGUGAAAAAGUACGUGAAAUUGUUGAAAGGGAAGGGUUUGAGAUCAGACUCGAUAUUUUGUGAGCCUUGCCUUCGUGGCGGGGUGACCCGCAGCUUAUCGGGCCAGCAUCGGUUUGGGCGGUAGGAUAAUGGCGUAGGAAUGUGACUUUGCUUCGGUGAAGUGUUAUAGCCUGCGUUGAUGCUGCCUGCCUAGACCGAGGACUGCGAUUUUAUCAAGGAUGCUGGCAUAAUGAUCCCCAACCGC
rnacentral:rRNA from 1 species